UCGCCUGUAGAAAGGGGUCAAUCGUUUGAACCCUGCUUCACUUGGUGUGUAUGUGAAGGUGCUUUGAAAUCAAGUGCUCUGCAAACUGGAGAGAAUUACUGCUUGUAUUCCGUGAAACUACAAGCUCCCAAUUCCACUCAUUUAAUCCCUCUCUUGCUCUGUUGCCCAGAGGUUGCAGUGAGCCGAGAUCACGCCACUGCACUAUAGCCUAGGUGACAGAGUGAGACUCUGUCUCAAAAAAACACAAAAGUUUCUCUUUUCAAAACAUUUUACUUUAAAAGGAGCCAAUUUAAAGAAAACUGUUAAUAGUUCAGGUAACAGGCAGAUACAGGAAAAGCUGCUGACAGUGUUGUAUGAGGUUUGAGGAUUUUGAUCCAAGCUGGUCCCACUCAGUCCAUAGCAGAGAAUGAAAGGGCCCAGAGAGGGUGGUGACCUCUGCCUGAAGUCACACAGUGAGUCGAGGACAGGGAGGUGACCCCAGGUUUCUAUGUGUAGGGCGGGAGGAUGUUCUGGGACACAGUUCAAUUCUCAUUUGUCACACACUUUGGCUAUUAGAGAUCAACCCCU
rnacentral:lncRNA from 10 species